AGUCCGUUAUAGUGUUGAGAAGGAGUUAUAGGUACAUAUAAAGUUUGAAUUUGACAUAUUUUAAUUUUUAAUUCAACAUGUUUUUGAUAUGAACGUAAUUCAUCUUAUCAGGUCGCGAUAACGUAGCUUGCUGUUUACCAUUAUUGCCAAAUAAAUCAUAUAUUUGGGGGAAAAGUAAACACUUCACAAAAAUUAAGAUAACAAUUUCAAGAUAAGGCAAUUGAAUUGCAAUAAUGCGUUGUUCGUGUAAAAUACAUUAGUUAUUAGUGCACUUCUGAACUGUUAUUGCUGAUACGUAGUGCGUUCAUAAUGGACAAUUUGUUAAAUGUACGACUCAAUUAAGAUAUUUUCGUUAUUUAAUUUUAUUAAGCAAUAAAAAUAAAAAAAAACAUACCUUAGCUUGGAUCCUGUGAGCGUUGUCCUUGUUUAUGACCUGUUCGAUGGCGGCGGGUACAAGAAUGUCGCACUUCUCGUAAAGCAUGUUCUCGCCUUCGUAGGCCUUAGCGCCGGGGAAACCGACUACCGUACCGUUCUCGAUUCUGUAGUCCUCCAAGGCCUGGAUAAAUUUGUCGAUUUUAAUAUUGCAUCGCGUGUGACUCGACUGGAUUAUAUGGAGAUCUUUAAAGGAGCUCGUGAUGGGAUUAAGCGAUCAAUACUCAUCGACGAUUGAGGCAAAGAUUCCACGGUCACGGAGGCACGGCUAAUUCGUCUACAUUUGAAUAAUAAUUUUCAAACUACCGUCUAAUUUCCAUUAAGAAAUAUUUCAUGAAA